AUUGAUGAUUCCUGCUCUGAUUGUUCUUGCCCUGAUUACUUUCACCAACUACCUGAUGAUCUUCUUCUCUUGUAUUGGUCUACGAGCUCAUGGAUCUUGGCUUAAACAGGAGCACCCUAGUGCUGCAUCAUAGUGUUGGUAUGCAUUGAACAUCAUUUUGGAAUUGCUUCGACAAGAGGCAGAGUACUCAUAUUUAUUUAUUUAAAAUAAAAUGAACUUCAACAUGAACAAUUAAAAAUUAACUUGAACAUGAACAUUAUUUUAUAUGUAAGUGAUUUAAAUACAGUAUCAACCCAAACAAAAGACAGCAGGUAAAUUAGGUGCACUAUAGAUUUGAAAUGUUUGAAAUAACCAUGAUAUAUAUAUACCUUAGGUUCAAAAUGGCAUUGCUACCUAUGCAACAUGGACAAGCAUUGCCACACUGCUCAACUUCACUAUUGUGUUGGAUCUAGCAUCAGUUUCCCCAACAAAUGCUGCUACAGCUUCUUUAUGCAUACUUCUGUUGGAAGUAAUUAUAUGGUUUACAGUUGAAAACGUUCUAAUAGAGAAGCAUGUCCGUUACAUCCUCACCGUUUACCCUGUGAUUAUCUAUGCUCUAAUUGGAAGCCUGAGCAAGCAUUACGACGCAGCAGCACCUGGGCGGAACGCUGUCUUUUCAGCGGUGCUCCUCGUGUUGGCCUGUAUUGUGUUGGUGGUGCGCGUGGGGCUGGUGGUUUGGAGACACAGGACUCGGCCUCUCUACCAUGAAGUCAGUCCUGAGGUCCUGAUGUCACCAAGCAGCAGAACCGAUAAAUAACCAUACAUCAUAAACACUCAUAAAAACUUCAAAGAUGACGUGCCCUGAGCGGUAACACUUCC
ensembl:lncRNA